UUAGCGGAUGACUUGUGGCUGGGGGUGAAAGGCCAAUCAAACCGGGAGAUAGCUGGUUCUCCCCGAAAGCUAUUUAGGUAGCGCCUCGUGAAUUCAUCUCCGGGGGUAGAGCACUGUUUCGGCAAGGGGGUCAUCCCGACUUACCAACCCGAUGCAAACUGCGAAUACCGGAGAAUGUUAUCACGGGAGACACACGGCGGGUGCUAACGUCCGUCGUGAAGAGGGAAACAACCCAGACCGCCAGCUAAGGUCCCAAAGUCAUGGUUAAGUGGGAAACGAUGUGGGAAGGCCCAGACAGCCAGGAUGUUGGCUUAGAAGCAGCCAUCAUUUAAAGAAAGCGUAAUAGCUCACUGGUCGAGUCGGCCUGCGCGGAAGAUGUAACGGGGCUAAACCAUGCACCGAAGCUGCGGCAGCGACGCUGAUGCGUUGUUGGGUAGGGGAGCGUUCUGUAAGCCUGCGAAGGUGUGCUGUGAGGCAUGCUGGAGGUAUCAGAAGUGCGAAUGCUGACAUAAGUAACGAUAAAGCGGGUGAAAAGCCCGCUCGCCGGAAGACCAAGGGUUCCUGUCCAACGUUAAUCGGGGCAGGGUGAGUCGACCCCUAAGGCGAGGCCGAAAGGCGUAGUCGAUGGGAAACAGGUUAAUAUUCCUGUACUUGGUGUUACUGCGAAGGGGGGACGGAGAAGGCUAUGUUGGCCGGGCGACGGUUGUCCCGGUUUAAGCGUGUAGGCUGGU
rnacentral:rRNA from 1 species